rnacentral:rRNA from 1 species
AUGAAUAUUUAAAUAGCCGCAGAAUUUUAACUGUGCUAAGGUAGCAUAAUCAUUUACCUUUUAAUUAAAGGUUUGUAUGAAAGAUCUAACAUUUAAAUUACUUUUUUAUUAAUUCAUAUUUAAAUUUGACUAAAAAUAAAAAUAUUUUUAUAAAAUAAAAAGACGACAAGACCCUAUUGAACUUAACUCAAGUUAAGCUGGGGCAGCUAAUUAAACAUAAUUUUAAUAUAUUAUAUCAAAUAAAUUUCUGGGCCCCCCAAAAUGAUCAAGUUACCAUAGGGAUAACAGCGUAAUAAUUUUUAAAAGUUCUUAUCUAAAAAAUAGAUUACGACCUCGAUGUUGAAUUAAAUUUUACUUUAAAACGCAAUAGUA